rnacentral:rRNA from 1 species
UGAGGGAAAGGCGAAAAGAACCCCGGCGAGGGGAGUGAAAAAGAACCUGAAACCGUGUACGUACAAGCAGUGGGAGCACAGGUUUACCUGUGUGACUGCGUACCUUUUGUAUAAUGGGUCAGCGACUUAUAUUCUGUAGCAAGGUUAACCGUAUAGGGGAGCCGUAGGGAAACCGAGUCUUAACCGGGCGUUAAGUUGCAGGGUAUAGACCCGAAACCCGGUGAUCUAGCCAUGGGCAGGUUGAAGGUUGGGUAACACUAACUGGAGGACCGAACCGACUAAUGUUGAAAAAUUAGCGGAUGACCUGUGGCUGGGGGUGAAAGGCCAAUCAAACCGGGAGAUAGCUGGUUCUCCCCGAAAGCUAUUUAGGUAGCGCCUCGUGAAUUCAUCUCCGGGGGUAGAGCACUGUUUCGGCUAGGGGGCCAUCCCGGCUUACCAACCCGAUGCAAACUGCGAAUACCGGAGAAUGUUAUCACGGGAGACACACGGCGGGUGCUAACGUCCGUCGUGAAGAGGGAAACAACCCAGACCGCCAGCUAAGGUCCCAAAGUCAUGGUUAAGUGGGAAACGAUGUGGGAAGGCCCAGACAGCCAGGAUGUUGGCUUAGAAGCAGCCAUCAUUUAAAGAAAGCGUAAUAGCUCACUGGUCGAGUCGGCCUGCGCGGAAGAUGUAACGGGGCUAAACCAUGCACCGAAGCUGCGGCAGCGAACGUAUCACUUAAAGCGAUUCAGCGGGUUACGAUUGACGGAGCGAAGCGACGUCAAAGCGUAUACAAAGUCGAGUCGGUUUAAGGAUACGUUCGUUGGGUAGGGGAGCGUUCUGUAAGCCCGUGAAGGUGGCCUGUGAGGGUUGCUGGAGGUAUCAGAAGUGCGAAUGCUGACAUAAGUAACGAUAAAGCGGGUGAAAAGCCCGCUCGCCGGAAGACCA